UGAUGACGAGACGCUAAGGCGUUGAAGCAGUGUAUGUCAGACUUCCAAGAAAAGCUCCCAAUGUCAUAAAUAAGAAAUGCCUGUACCAUAACCGACACAGGUGGGUAGGUAGAGUAUACUAAGGGGCGCGAGAUAACUCUCUCUAAGGAACUCGGCAAAAUGACUCCGUAACUUCGGGAGAAGGAGUGCCUUAUUUAUAAGGUUGCAAUAACAAGAUCCAAGCAACUGUUUAUCAAAAACACAGGUCUCCGCUAAGUCGUAAGACGAUGUAUGGGGGCUGACGCCUGCCCAGUGCCAGAAGGUUAAAGAAGUUGGUUAGUGUAUGCGAAGCUGAUGACUGAAGCCCUGGUGAACGGCGGCUGUAACUAUAACGGUCCUAAGGUAGCGAAAUUCCUUGUCGGGUAAGUUCCGACCCGCACGAAAGGCGUAAUGAUUUGGAUACUGUCUCGGAGAGAGGCUCGGUGAAAUAGACUUGUCUGUGAAGAUGCGGACUACCUGCACCAGGACAGAAAGACCCUAUGAAGCUUUACUGUAACUUGAAAUUGGAAUUGGACUUUGCUUGCGCAGUAUAGGUGGGAAGCGUUGAAGAUAUUCUUGCGGGAGUAUCGGAGCUAUCAGUGAGAUACCACUCUUGUAAUGUUAGAUUUCUAACUUUGAACCAUAAUCUGGUCAAAGAACAGUUUCAGGUGGGCAGUUUGACUGGGGCGGUCGCCUCCCAAAUGGUAACGGAGGCGUACAAAGGUUUCCUCUGAACGGAUGGAAAUCGUAUCUAGAGUGUAAAGGCAUAAGGAAGCUUGACUGUGAGACCUACAAGUCGAGCAGGGACGAAAGACGGUCUUAGUGAUCUGACGGUACUGAGUGGAAAGGCCGUCACUCAACGGAUAAAAGUUACUCUAGGAUAACAGGCUGAUCUCCCCCAAGAGUUCACAUCGACGGGGAGGUUUGGCACCUCGAUGUCGGCUCAUCGCAUCCUGGGGCGGUAGUACGUCCCAAGGGUUGGGCUGUUCGCCCAUGAAAGCGGUACGCGAGCUGGGUUCAGAACGUCGUGAGACAGUUCGGUCCAUAUCCGGUGUAGGCGCUAGAAUAUUGAGAGGAGCCUUCUUUAGUACGAGAGGACCGAGAAGGACACACCGCUGGUGUACCAGUUAUCGUGCCAACGGUAAACGCUGGGUAGCUAUGUGUGGAGUGGAUAACCGCUGAAAGCAUCUAAGUGGGAAGCCCACCUCAAGAUGAGUAUUCCC
rnacentral:rRNA from 1 species